GAAAUAAAAGAACCCGUCUCUUAACUUUUAACUAAAAAAAUUAAGCACCGGUUCUUAAAUAAGAGUUUUAAGAGCCGGUUCUUAGCUUUUUUAGUUAAAAAUUAAGAGACGGGUUCUUAUAUUUC
rfam:Brassica napus, WGS project CCCW01000000 data, contig: 22458